rnacentral:tRNA from 1 species
GUGGGAUUAGCUCAGUUGGUUAGAGUGCCAGGUUGUGGCCCUGGAGGUCAUGGGUUCGAAUCCCAUAUUCCACCCCA